rnacentral:misc_RNA from 3 species
AACGCACCUUGCGCUCCUUGGUAUUCCGAGGAGCAUGCCUGUUUGAGUGUCUUGAAGUCAUCAACCCCUCCCGUUUUUGUGCGAGAGGAAGGUUGGAGAUGGGGGCCUGCGACCGUGAGGCCGCUCCCCUCAAAUGCUUCGGUUGGGCCUGUGGGUCGAACUCGGUUGGGCGUUGUAUCAUCCUCGCUCUUUGUCUGAGAAGUUCCCCUUUGAUUGAGCCCUCCCACGACUGCCUUUCCAGAGGUGGUCAAUCUAAUUUGAAAUCUGACCUCAAAUCAGGUAGGACUACCCGCUGAACUUAA